rnacentral:lncRNA from 1 species
UAGAUUGUCUUUAGUGGUGAAAAAAUUUAAGGAUCUAGUGCUUAGAUUUAAGCACCACCUAAGGAUCUCCCACUAAAGUUGCUCUAAAGUCCCCAACAUUCACUCACUCACUCUUCCACAUACUAACACACUUCUAAAUUUUCCCACACACACCCCCUUCAUCCCUUUAUAAAACCCUUUUCUUAUUUUUCAUCAUUACAAAACGGAACAAUCUAUCUGUAAUAUGUAUAAGGAUAAGGAUAAGGAUAAGGAUAAGGAUAAGGAUCAUUACAAAACGGAGCAAUCUAUAUCUAUAAUCUAUCUAUAAUCUAUAAUCUAUAAUAUCUAUAAGGUGAGAAACUCUUCUAUAGGCACAAACACAAACUUUUUAGAUUUAGGCACACACACAAAGUUAAUUAAAAUUUAAAGAUAAAAAAUUGAUUGAUAUAAAUUGAUGUGACUAAAUUAUUUAUGAUUUAAUUUUUAUCAUUUAUGUGUGUGUGCCUAAAUCCAAAUAGUUUGUAUUUGUGUCUAUGGAAGAAUUUCUCCUAUAAGGUUGGUGUAAGCAAGUUAACUUUUUCUCCCUUUGCUUUAUUUAAUAUAAGUAAAAUUUAGAGAGGUCUAGAGCAUCAUAGAGGUUUAAUUCCAGCUCAUAAACUUUAUAAUGAUAGUAUUUUUGUAAAUAAAAUAAAGUGAAAACAAACAGUAUUUUGUCAUCAAACAAGUGAAAUUGUCCAAUUAAAUUAAAUAAAUUCAACAUAUAUCUAAUUAGGUCCAACCAACCAACCACGUGUCAAGUUUAUGCAAAUUCU